rnacentral:rRNA from 1 species
GACGAACGCUGGCGGCGCGCCUAACACAUGCAAGUCGAGCGAACCGAUCCGGGGGCAACCCCGGUGAGGUUAGCGGCGAACGGGUGAGUAACACGUGAGGAACGUGCCCUGGACUUCGGGAUAACAGUGGGAAACCACUGCUAAAUACCGGAUACGCUCCCGCCUCCGCAUGGAGGUGGGAUGAAAGGUCCGCCGGUCUGGGAUCGCCUCGCGGCCCAUCAGCUUGUUGGUGAGGUAACGGCUCACCAAGGCUUCGACGGGUAGCUGGCGUGAGAGCGCGACCAGCCACACUGGGACUGAGACACGGCCCAGACUCCUACGGGAGGCAGCAGUGGGGAAUCUUGCGCAAUGGGCGAAAGCCUGACGCAGCGACGCCGCGUGAGGGAUGAAGGCUCUCGGGUUGUAAACCUCUUUUAGCGGGGACGAAGCGAAAGUGACGGUACCCGCAGAAGAAGCCCCGGCCAACUACGUGCCAGCAGCCGCGGUAAUACGUAGGGGGCGAGCGUUGUCCGGAUUUAGUU